CGAGUCGACCGGGCGGCCGCGUCGGCACCUUCACCGGUGCCGCCGAGGAACGUCCGGGCUCCAGAGGGCAGGGUGGUUGUUAACGGCAACCCGGGGCGACCCGCGGGACAGUGCCACAGAAAACAGACCGCCCGACCCGGGUCACGCACCGCGCGGCUCGGAUCGGGUAAGGGUGAAACGGUGGGGUAAGAGCCCACCAGCGCCCCGGGUGACCGGGGCGGCUCGGUAAACCCCACCCGGAGCAAGGUCAGACGCAGGCGUUCGAGGGCGGCCCGCCCGAGCCUGCGGGUAGACCGCUAGAGCCUGCCGGCAACGGCAGGCCGAGAUGGAUGGCCGCCCCCCGCUCACCAGCGGGGACAGAACCCGGCGUACAGGUCGACUCGUCCG
rnacentral:RNase_P_RNA from 1 species